UUUCCGUAGGUGAACCUGCGGAAGGAUCAUUAAUGAAUGAAUGUAGAGUCGGUUGUAGCUGGCCUCCCCGGAGGCAUGUGCACGCCUUCUCUUUCAUCCACACACCCCUGUGCACUCGUGAGACAGAGGCGUUGCUUCCCUUUAAUUAGAGAACAGGUCUCUGUCUACUUUCACAUAAAAUCUAAUUUUAUUUAAAACUGAAUGUAAUUUGAUGUAACGCAUCUAAUACAAAGUUUCAACAACGGAUCUCUUGGCUCUCGCAUCGAUGAAGAACGCAGC
rnacentral:misc_RNA from 1 species